GUACACGCUGUGACUAGCAUAUCAAUAAGCGGAGGAAAAGAAACUAACAAGGAUUCCCCUAGUAACGGCGAGUGAAGCGGGUAGAGCUCAAAUUUGAAAUCUUAAAGGGUUUCCCUUUACGAAUUGUAGUUUAAAGAAGUGUUUUCUGUUGAGGUUUUGGUAAAAGUUCUUUGGAAUAGGACAUCAUAGAGGGUGAGAAUCCCGUAUUUGACCUUUACUUUCAACUUUGUGAUACACUUUCAAAGAGUCGGAUUGUUUGGGAAUGCAGUCCAAAAUGGGUGGUAAAUUUCAUCUAAAGCUAAAUAUUGGCGAGAGACCGAUAGCGAACAAGUACCGUGAGGGAAAGAUGAAAAGAACUUUGAAAAGAGAGUUAAACAGUACGUGAAAUUGUCAAAAGGGAAGCGUUUGACACCAGUGUUGUUUUUCUGAAAAUCAAUUAAAGAACUGUUUAUGCUAAGUUGUUUAGACUUUAUCAGCUAACUGUUUAGUUUUGAGCUUUUCUUUAAUGCACUUUUCAGUUAACAAGUCAACAUCAAUUUCUUUUGCUGUAAAAAAGCUUGAGGAAGGUGGCUUGAGAUUCGUCUUAAGUGUUUAUAGCCUCUUGCCUAUGCAGUCGGAGAGAUUGAGGUCUGCAGCGUAGAUCCUUCGGGGCUAAAUGCAUUUGUGCUAAGUUAUAGCAUUUUAUAGACAACUUGUUGACUAUGAUUUGUCUUGUAGCUUACUCGCUUAUGUUAUUUUACCUACGCUUAGGAUGUUGAAGAUGUAGCACAUCAU
rnacentral:rRNA from 1 species